UCACCCCUCAAGCUCUCCGGCUUGGUGUUGGACGGUUUAGCCUUGGUGACGAGGCCCGUUUUAAAGUCAAUGACGGCGGCCUGUUUGAACCCCCGGUACACCGAGCUUCUUAACUGAGCACGUAUCGGUUGAAGGGUAGGCAGGACCCGGUCUUCUUCCUUAACCGGAAACUCUUUCCAAGG
rnacentral:misc_RNA from 1 species